GCGCCAGACUCCUACGGGAGGCAGCAGUGAGGAAUAUUGGUCAAUGGGCGGAAGCCUGAACCAGCCAAGUCGCGUGAGGGAUUAAGGCCCUAUGGGUCGUAAACCUCUUUUGUCAGGGAGCAAGGUCGUCCACGUGUGGGCGUAUGGAGAGUACCUGAAGAAAAAGCAUCGGCUAACUCCGUGCCAGCAGCCGCGGUAAUACGGAGGAUGCGAGCGUUAUCCGGAUUUAUUGGGUUUAAAGGGUGCGUAGGCGGGACCUUAAGUCAGCGGUAAAAUGUCCGGGCUCAACCCGGGCCGGCCGUUGAAACUGGGGAUCUUGAGUGGGCGAGAAGUAUGCGGAAUGCGUGGUGUAGCGGUGAAAUGCAUAGAUAUCACGCAGAACUCCGAUUGCGAAGGCAGCAUACCGGCGCCCGACUGACGCUGAGGCACGAAAGCGUGGGGAUCGAACAGGAUUAGAUACCCCAGUA
rnacentral:rRNA from 1 species